rnacentral:rRNA from 1 species
UAGGGAAUCUUCGGCAAUGGACGAAAGUCUGACCGAGCAACGCCGCGUGAGUGAAGAAGGUUUUCGGAUCGUAAAGCUCUGUUGUAAGAGAAGAACGGGUGUGAGAGUGGAAAGUUCACACUGUGACGGUAUCUUACCAGAAAGGGACGGCUAACUACGUGCCAGCAGCCGCGGUAAUACGUAGGUCCCGAGCGUUGUCCGGAUUUAUUGGGCGUAAAGCGAGCGCAGGCGGUUAGAUAAGUCUGAAGUUAAAGGCUGUGGCUUAACCAUAGUACGCUUUGGAAACUGUUUAACUUGAGUGCAGAAGGGGAGAGUGGAAUUCCAUGUGUAGCGGUGAAAUGCGUAGAUAUAUGGAGGAACACCGGUGGCGAAAGCGGCUCUCUGGUCUGUAACUGACGCUGAGGCUCGAAAGCGUGGGGAGCGAACAGGAUUAGAUACCCUGGUAGUCCACGCCGUAAACGAUGAGUGCUAGGUGUUAGGCCCUUUCCGGGGCUUAGUGCCGCCNGCUAACGCAUUAAGCACUCCGCCUGGGGAGUACGACCGCAAGGUUG